rnacentral:lncRNA from 1 species
UCUAGAAUAAACUAUGUGGCUUUGGAACCAAAAUUCAGUAGAACUUCAGAUGGUAUGUUGGGAACGGUUCCUCUAUUAAUGUUUUCUCUCAUGCUUGGCAAUCUCUCCCUCUUCUUAACUAACCCAGAAAAAGAACACACAAUAAUAAUAAUUUCUCCCAUAUAAUAUUUAGAGAGGUUAGAGGAGGAUGAAGCACUUCAGCCAAACUCACCGGCCUUUGAGAUGGUGAAGAGGUAAGGAGAGAGACGAGCCUUUCUGAUGAGGGAGAAAGAAGAGGAGGGGGGAGGGGA